UUAGGUUUUGCAGCAAAUGCUCUGGAAUGGAGAAGCCACGGACUGCCUGGGGGCAUGUGCUGGAAACAACAGGAAGGUGAGAACAGUGGACCAACCACAUAUUUUGGACUUAACCCAGUGAAUGGCAACUGUAUGCAUGGAUUGAGAGAGAGGGAAGAGAGAACGAGAGAGAAAGGGCUUGAUCUCAAGACUCCAAGAUCAAGAGCUGCGCUGAGAUGGACAGCUGGACACUUGACUGACCAAGCCACCCAGGCACCCCCACAACUCGAGCUCUUUUAAUCAAAAGCAAGUGGCAGGGUUGGGAGAAGGGAAUUCCAUGGAUUUCUCACAGACUUCAAGAAUUUGAAGAGCUAAUCCCAGGGACUGUGUGGUGCCCAGCUGCCACAUUAAUGAAACUCAGCUCUCGACGCCCAGUCUCUGUGCCCCUUCAUUUAAAUCUUUGACAGAGAAAUACCAUUAUUUGAUUUGGCUUAGGAGCCAGGCUCUCCCAUUCCUCAUGAGACAGUGGGAGGAACCUCACUUAUUUCUAGUCAUAAAGAAGGGGUAAAGUGGGGUCUGUUGGAUUCUUCUUUUAAGGGGUUGAACCCUUUCACUCCCCACCCCCAUUUUAUUUCACCAAAGUAGAGCAGAAUAACAUCCUUACCUGUUUACUUUCUUUCUGUUGUCAUGGAAGAGCCUGAGGGGGUCCAGGGCAGUGAUGGGGCAGGGACCUCCAGCAUCUGCAAAGUUCUCAAGCCCUUUAUCCUGCUCCUGAUAUAUCCGCCUGGUUCCACCGGCUACAAAUGAUAGAGAACCAACAUACCCCAAAAUGGUGCAGCC
rnacentral:lncRNA from 1 species